ensembl:lncRNA
UUCAGUCUGACAGUGAAACUACAACAGCUUCAUCAGAUUGUCGUGAGGAACAGUUCCCUUGCACACGCCUGUAUUCUGUUCACAAACCGGUAAAGCAGUGUAUCAGCUACCUUUGUGUUACCAGUGUGCGUCGCAUGUACGUAAUAAACAAAGAGGUGUGCUCUCGCAUUGUCUGCAAGGAAAAUGAAGUCAUGCAAGAUGAGAUCUGUCGCCAGCUGGCUGGCCUUCCUUCUCGACGUCUCCGCCGAUCUGGGCAACUCCCAUAUCUCCCUUGCAAACAGAUCCUGGAGCAGCAGCACAGGAGGCCUGAUGCUCUGUGAGCUACCAGAAGUAGAAGAGAAAAAAGAAGAGAGAGAAGAGAAAUCAUUAUCCCCUGCCUACAGCCCAAGACAAGUCCUUCUUUCUUGUUGUGAUUCCCCCACCAUUUCCUUGCUUCUCUGUCUUCUCCCACAUCCUCUUCUUCAAGUGCUGCAGUGCACAGAGUUCCCUAUCUGUCAUGGUAGCUGCAACUGUCUUCUAAAUCUGUUGCUGAGGAUGUGGGAUGCUCCCCUUUUCUCUCAGUUUCUAUUUGGCAGGCUUGUUUCCCAGAGGUCCUUAUAUCUGUGUAUUGUCUCUGCAGAGAAACAUGAAUGGAGAUGGGGUGUCCUCUCCAAUGGUAGAAAUGGCCUAAGCUGUGUCUCAUGUGGAGGAAUGCAAGACUGUAUGCACAAGGCUUUAUGCCCUGGCCUAGGUUUCUUGCAUGGUACGAGUACGAGUUCUGAUACUCUUAGUCAUACUGUUCCUCUCCAGACCUCCACGGCUACUGAGUUUGCUCUGUGUCUGCUGGACUCAGAGAAGUGACAGAACUGGGAGGUGAGCUGUCUUCCACCCAAGGCAAACCUCAUUGUAUGGCAGCAGAUGAUUUGUAACUACCUCUGGGAAGUUCUUCAUUUCAUGCCCAUUGUUUCCCUCACACAAAUGCUACUAAAAGGAAGAAUUCUGGAUUUAAUAUGGCAUUAUACUUUUAUCAAGAAGAUUAUGUUCUCAAGAAGAGAGAUCUCUCUCCUCAUCUCUCCUUUUCUCUCCUCUGCUCUGCUCUUCCCUUUCCACUGAAGAAAACUCUUGAUACCCAUUUCAGACAAGUUUCAGGAAGCAGGAAGUAUGAAUACAUCUGUUCCUAAGCCCAAGAGAGCCCCAAAAACGUGUGUCCUUAAAGAACUGGGGACUUGCUUCUUGUGUGGUGAAGGACAGGAGAAGAGACAAUGAAUUAGCUCCUGAUGACUUGUCUGAUCUAGUUUCAUCUAUAUUCACCAGCUGCUGAGUCCACUUUCACUAUCUCCACUUGAGUUCCUACCUCCUGACCUGGUGUCUUCUGCACAGAAAGGAAUCAAACUGGAAUGAGAUGUGGUAGAGGAAUCAUUAUCUGGGAUCCUUGGGUUUUCCUGCAGGUUGUCUGUGUGCUGUAUUGCACAGAACUGGGUGCUGGUGGGGAGGUGGAUAUAUCUCUAGGUAUGAGCAUAGAAACAGGCCAAUCUUGGGAAAAUAAUUCACUCUGGUAGCACUGGAUGUCUGUUGGUAGCACUUUCCAGAUGCACAGAAAACAUUUCAAGGUGUAUGGUCAGUGUUCUGAGAUUGGAUAAGGGAAGUGGUGAAGAGCUGUCUGAAGAGUCUUAAUCACUUUUUGUGACUUUUGGUGGCAUGCCUAACUGUUCUGUAGAGCACUUUAUCUCAGCAUCUAUCUUAAUGCAGCAGAUCAAUGAGGAACUCUGGGCACUGUUCCUAUCUCUAACAUAGUUUGCUACAGCAUGUAUACAUGCUCACAACACAAUAUAUCUGAUACUGAACUCAGUACCAUUCAGCCUGGCAGGAACAGCGGUCUGCUGAACAACCAGAGUAACACAAUAUAUAAGUUUGCUGUGCAGAGUUAGAAUUCUCAGAAAACUGAUGAGAGCCUCUCCACAAUCCUUGGAUUUCUGCUGUACACAGACAGAAGCUGCAUUACAUCCUCCAUGUACGGAAGGACAUCCCGCAGAGGCAUGUUUGCUCUAUAUAAAGUCAAAAUUGGCUAAAUGGGCUAAAUCUCUAAAGGUUAAUAAAUUUUACAGGACAAAGAAUUUCA